AACACAGCUCCGUGCUUACUCGCAUCUAUCUUUCGCCUUUUACUAAAGAUAGCCGUUGGCUACGGAGCACGAUGUGUUACAUCAAUUUUUGGAACUUU
rnacentral:snRNA from 1 species